rnacentral:siRNA from 1 species
GUGGUGGAUUAUGUUCAUCGA